rnacentral:rRNA from 1 species
AUGUUUCAUCAUUGUGCAGCAGCAAUGUCGGGCAAGUACAUUAUCGGUUCGCUGGUUGGAUCCCUUGGCAUUGCAUAUGUCUGCGACGCCAUCGUUUCCGACAAGAAGAUCUUUGGAGGCACUGUGUGCAAGACGGCGACAGACAAGGAGUGGUUUCAGGCCACGGACGCCAAGUUCCAGGCCUGGCCCCGUGUCGCCGGGCCGCCGGUCGUCAUGAACCCCAUCAGCCGCCAGAACUUCAUCGUCAAGGACCCCUGA